rnacentral:tRNA from 8 species
GCGGAAGUAGCUCAGUGGUAGAGCACCACCUUGCCAAGGUGGGGGUCGCGGGUUCGAACCCCGUCUUCCGCUCCA